rnacentral:rRNA from 1 species
GAACGGCACCUUCGGGUGUAGUGGCGGACGGGUGAGUAACGCGUGGGAACGUACCUUUUGCUUCGGAAUAGCCUCGGGAAACUGGGAGUAAUACCGAAUGUGCUCUUCGGAGGAAAGAUUUAUCGGCAAAAGAUCGGCCCGCGUUGGAUUAGCUAGUUGGUGAGGUAAUGGCUCACCAAGGCGACGAUCCAUAGCUGGUUUGAGAGGAUGACCAGCCACACUGGGACUGAGACACGGCCCAG